rnacentral:lncRNA from 1 species
UUGGUUUUGUUUUAAAUUUGGGCUAAAAUCAUUUCUGAUGGCCCAAUUCUCUCAAAAAAAUACCCAGCCCAUCUCUCUAACCUACCCAAACCCCUUAUCCUUUAAUUAAAACCUAGAUAUAGAAAAAGAGAUCGAAGACCUAAGAAAAUAGGGGACCUUCCGCUUUAGAUUAGGAGCGAGCAGCGCAUCUCUGGGGAAAAAACAUCAUAGAACAACAUCAGAAACCUUUGUCUUUUGAAGAUAAAAAAUGGGCAACCCUACUUCUUCUUCCUCAUUUUCUAACCUAAAACACACAAGAACAGACUCUUUCCUUCAACACCAAUCCUACUAGCCCGCCUCGCAAUUCUCAUUUGCACCUCACACACACUAAAAUCAUGGAAGAGAAAUCAUCCUCUGAGGAUUAAAAGAAGACAACUAGAGUAGUCAAGACCCGGAGAAAUCUUCAUUGAAGAAAGAAAAGCAAACUGUGUCCGAAUUUCGCUUGGAAGUGGAGUGAUUGAUCUUCAAUUUCUGGGCGUUUUAUGACCCAUUUGAUUUUCUGUAAAUUUGUGAGCUAAUCUCUGGGUUUCGGAGAGUGAUUAAACUCUUAAAUCACUAUCGAGUGUUGCUGAUUCACUAUGUUGCUGAACUCUAGAUUCAUAUUUAUCAUUGUUUCUCUAUAUUCCGCUACAUCAAGGUACUCUUCUCGAUUUUGACCAUGUAACUUGAUUUGGAUAAUUCAUGUUCUAUGAAAAUUAAUUUUGUGAAGUUACAUGUUCUACUCUGUUAAGAGAAUGACUAUUAGCAUCGAUUUGUAUGCCAUGUUUAUGACUAAUUUCAUAGAUACAACAUGAGAUUUUCCUAUACCCUCUCAUAUGCUAUUUUUGUGUUAGUUUGUUUGUUGAACUAAGUGUUUAAAUUCAAAUCAUUCUUUGAAUCAGUUUGUUAAUCAUGGUUUCGAAUACUGUUUAUAACAUCCUUUGUGUUAGCUUGAAGUUCUGAUUUUCACUUAAGGUUGAAAGUUGAAAUUACAAAACCACACAUUAUUAGCUUAGUGGCUAUUGAUAGUAGACCUAUCUACAUGGUGCAGUAGUUGUUGUAUUUUAAGGAACUGAACUUAUUGGUCGCUCCUGAUGAAGAAUCUUUUGUGGCUCUAAUAAUUCUCUUUUUCUCAUUCGGGACUCUGUUGUUACCGAUGAGGUAUUCUCUCAGUUCAAUUCUUUCUGUCGGACGUGGAAAUGGGUAUUCAACCCUGGGAAUAUGAAGCCAUUGUUUCUUAGACUUGAGUCAUUGUUUGGAAUGCUAAUAAUCAUGUAGCCUUGAGAGUUGCUCAAGGGCGUAUAAUUUGUGAUGUCCAUUUCUUCUUGUUCUGAUAAGUGAUAACUUGAUUCUGUUUGAAGAUUUUAUUUCUUCUGCAAGUACAUAUUCUUAGAUGUAGAGAAAAAAGUUGAACUGUUAUUUGUAUUUUAUCAAGCUGAAAAGCUAGGGCAUGACCUUUUGCUGAUUUUUAAGGAAAGGUGAUUUACUCUAUUUGAUAUUUCUUUUUUAAAUGUUCAAUUUCUAUUAGAUGUGAGUUUACCUGAUAAGAUAGGACGCAUUCACAUAAUUGCGUGCUGCAUUGUUUUUUCUUGAUACUAGAUGGUGGGCGUUAGAAGUAAACUGGGUUAGAUAUAAGUUAAUCCAUUUUGUUUUUGUUUAUUAAUAAAAACGUUAACCAAAUACUACAUUUUCUCACAACUUUUCCAUAGCUCUCAUUUUUACAAUUAUCUCAAACGUAGGAGAUGAAUAAUUAUGAACAUCCGUGGUUCGCUUUAGUUGAGUACAAUCUUUUAAAAUAAAUUGAGGCGUGUCAUACACAAAUAAAAUUCAUAACCCAUGGCCCUCACAUUAAUACUAACUAGUAUAGAAAACAAUCUUGAACAUUCGUAACUUGCUUUAGGCGCGACUUAGUCUAUAUAUUAUCGUGAUUAUGUAUACAUUCACGUAACAUAAUUAUGAUUUUUCUAAAAAUAAAUCGAGGUAUGUGUUCGUGCAACUUCUACCAAACUUUCUUAAUAUUAAUAAAGCAUGAUUAAUUGUGGACAUGUACGCGUGACAUGAUUCUUAACGUGCCAAACGAAAUGAGUUCAUGUACGCGUAACUCCUUUUAAGAUAAUUUCCAAAAUUACGAAUAAUCAAGCAACUAAAAGCGGUUAAAGGGAUAAAUGAACAUAGGUCUUAAAAUGAAUAAUUAAACAAUUUAUUUAAGUCAGUUAUAAAUUGCUAAGCGGCCGUGCUAAAACCACAAAACCCGGGAAUGCCUAACACCUUCUCAUGGGUUAACAGAACUCAUUAUCUAGAAUUUCUGGUUCGCACACUUUUAAAUAAAGUCGAAAAAAAAUUUCCUCAAUUUGGGAUUUAAAAUAAAUCGGUGACUUGGGACACCAUAAUAAACUAUUCCAAGUGGUAACUCUGAAAUUAAAAUAAUUCCAUUUCGAAUAAUGUCACUUUAAUUGGAAAAACUCCCUUAUAUACCCCCCAAGUGUAAAAAGGAGAUGUGACAACGAGUAUUUAUGCGUUGUUGUUGGGCUAAAACAUAUGGGUGGGAUUUGGUUCUUGUAAUUUAUCGCUUUUUUAUCAUGAUAUCCAUGCUUAGACUGGUUAGUUAUUAAAUUCAUCGAUCUUUCCGCAAUUAUAGGCUAUCUGUGAUAAUUGAAUAUUGUUUCUGAAGUUGAGGUUAGUAUUGUGGAACCAUUGUUUACAUAAGGCUUAUUCUUGUUAAUUAUAUCUCCCUGUUAUUAUAUGUUUAUUAUUAUAUGGUUAGAGUGAGUAUUAAUGCACGAAGGGCGAUGUCGUGGCAUGUUUGAGAGUUAAUGGAUGAAGGGUGAUGUCGUGCCAUAUUUGAGAGUUAAUACAUGAAGGGUGAUACUGUGUCGUAUCUAUUGGUUUAUGAUGAAAGUGAGAGUAAAAGCACGAAGGGUGAUGUCGUAUUAUCAUUAUUGAUUGAUAGUGAAGUUGAGAGUAAAAGCAUGAAGGGUGAUGUCGUGCAAUUUUCUUGAUUAUGGUUAUUGGUGUUACUAGUUAAAGGCUUAUUGAUUGUUCUAGUUAUCAUUUCAUGUUCUAAUUAUCGUAUUUUGUACCCAUUUCGCAUGUCCCUCCCAAUAGUACAUGUUUAUCCUUUAAUUGUUUUUGUGUUGUAUGUAUAUUGUUAUCUGUUGUCACAACCUGGAUUUUCCACCCUUAGGAGUCGUGAUAGCGCCUACUAGUGAAAGCUAGGCAAGCCAAAUUAUUCUGAUUACUUAACCUUUUUCAGUUUUAGUCCCUUAACAUUGGUGAACAAACAUCAUAUAAAUGGUAGAAAUAAUAAUAUCAAUAACGAAGCGGAAGACUGAAAUAUGAUAAUUUAACUUAAUACAAACUACAGAAGUCUAAAUACAACUCUACCCAGAAUUUGGUGUCACAAUUUCAUAAACUGUCUAAGAUUACUACAAAUAAAGUCUGAAUAGAAAUACAUGAAUCUGUCUCUGAAUAAGUAAAAACAGAAAAGAAAUGAUAGAAGCAAAUGUCAAGGCCCACAGACGCCUGCAGGACUACCUCGGGUCGCCUGUUGGACUGAAGGCAGCAACCUCACUACGGUCCAAACGCUCCGGUAACGGUAUCUGCAUAUAGUGCAGAGUGUAGUAUCAGCACAACCGACCCCAUGUGUUGGUAAGUUCCUAGCCUAACCUCAGCGAAGUAGUGAAAAAGCUAGGACCAGACUACCAAAUAAACCUGUGCAGUUAAAUCAUAUACAACAGAAAAUAAAGGCAAAUACUCACAGUAAAGAUAGGCGGGGGGAAACAUGUUGCGGGGAGUAACAUAAAACAACAGAAUACCAAAGAGAAGUGUAAGAAACCAAAAUCCAAAUACUAACAAGGAAAAGGAAAACAAACACAGAAUUCACUUUCAUUUCAUAUCUUAUUGCAGGCGUGCAACCCGAUCCCAUCUCAUAUAUCUCGCUGCAGGUGUGCAACCCGAUCCCAUUUCAUAUAACUCAUUGUAGGUGUGCAACCCGAUCCCAUUUCAUAUAUCUCGUUGCAGGCGUGCAACCCGAUCCCAUUUUCUCAUUGCAGGCGUGCAACCCGAUCCCAUUUCAUAUAUGUCGUUGCAGGCAUGCAACCCGCUCCCAUUUCAUAUAUCUCAUUGCAGGCGUGCAACCCGCUCUCAUUUCAUAUAUCUUGUCGCAGACGUGCAACCUGCUCCUAUUUAUAUAUCUCGUUGCAGGCGUGCAACCCGCUCCCAUUUCUUAUAUCUUGUUGCAGGCGUGCAACCUGCUCCCAUUUUAUAUAUCUCGUUGCAGGCAUACAACCCGCUCCCAUUUUAAUUCAACAUUAGUCAUAAAAGAAUCCCAACAAGGGAACAAGAGUAUAACAACAAUAUCCCGGCAAGGGAGACAAUAUUAUAAACAAUAACAUCCCGACAAGGGAGACAAUGUCAGAAACAAUAAAAUUCCGGCAAGGGAACCAACAAUGAUAACCAUCAUAUUAGGCAUGAAUAAAUCACAACGGAGUCACAACAAUUACAAUUCUAGACUCAUGGGCAUGCUUGAUACCAACGUAUAGAUACUCGUCACCAUGCCUAUACGUCGUACUACGUAAUUAACAUAUAGCAAAUAAGACACAACUCCUAAUCCCUCAAGCUAAGGUUAGACCAAACACUCACCUCAAACUCCCACGGCCAACUCAAGCCUCAAACACCGAUUUUCCUUAGAAUUCACCUCCAAAUUACUUGUAUCUANNNNNNNNNNNNNNNNNNNNNNNNNNNNNNNNNNNNNNNNNNNNNNNNNNNNNNNNNNNNNNNNNNNNNNNNNNNNNNNNNNNNNNNNNNNNNNNNNNNNNNNNNNNNNNNNNNNNNNNNNNNNNNNNNNNNNNNNNNNNNNNNNNNNNNNNNNNNNNNNNNNNNNNNNNNNNNNNNNNNNNNNNNNNNNNNNNNNNNNNNNNNNNNNNNNNNNNNNNNNNNNNNNNNNNNNNNNNNNNNNNNNNNNNNNNNNNNNNNNNNNNNNNNNNNNNNNNNNNNNCCCCAAAAAGUCAAAAAUUGGCCCCGACCCGCUUGGUCGAAACUCGAGGUUCGGACUAAAACCCGAUCGCCCAUUCACCCACGAGCCCAAAUAUGCAAUUAGUUUUGAAAUCCAACCCCAAAACAAGGUCUAAAUUUCAAUUAAUCAAAAAGCCCUAACUCUACCCAAAUUCCUAAUUUCUACCAUAAAAACCCUAGAUUUUUGGAUGAAAAUUGAUGAAAUCGAAAUUCCUAAAUUCCUAAUUUCUACCAUUGAUGAAAUGCAAUGGGAAAUCGAAAGAAAAAAGUUUAGAAUCAUAUACCAAUUCUUUAAGGAAGAACUUGUUCUAUGAAAAUCGCCUCAAUGCUCUCUAGUUUUGAAAAUAUGAAGUUAUGGACUCAUUCCCGAUUUUGCUACUGUUUUUAAUUCACUGGACAUGCCUUCUUUGCGUUCGCGAAGGGUCAGGCCCAGUUGCCUCACGUUCGCGCUUUGUGGCUCGCGUUCGCAGAGCUUUAGCUCCUCAAACCAUCGCGUUUGCAGGCCAUUGGCCGCGUUCGCGUAGAACAAAAUCCCUUUCCCCCUGUCCCGGCCAAAAGGCCUUCGCGUUCGCGAUAGCAGGUCCGCGUUCGCGAAGGGUAGCACCCCUAAGGCUUCGCGUUCGCGUCCUAUUUCUCGUGUUCGCAUAGAAGGAAUUAUCCUUCAGCCUGACUUACCCUUUGCGUUCGCAAGAGUCCUUCCGCGAACUCGAAGAACAACACUCCAGAAUACCAGAAACUAAAACCUGCAACUUUUCUAAGUUUAAAAACCUACCGAAACUCACCCGAGCCCUCGAGGAUCCAAAAAAAACAUGCAUACUAACUCAAAAUAUCAUAUCGACUUACUCAUGCGUUCAAAUCGCCAAAUUAACAGCUUUAACAAUGAAUUUAGCAUCAAAAUCAAAGGAAAAUCUCAAGAACACUUAAGUUUCAAGUUUCACAAUUGAGGGUCCGAUUCAUGUCAUUUCAAGUCUGUUUCUUACCAAAUUUUACAUGUUCAAUGUAAAUCAUAUAUAAGACCUAUACCGGGCUCCGGAACUAUAAUACGGGCCUGAUACCAUCAAAUUUAACUACGUUCAAAUUUCCAAAUACUCUAAAAUUUUCACUUAUAUAAUUUUCUUUAAGAAUUCAUUUCUUGGGCUUGGGACCUCGGAAUUCGAUUCCGAGCAUACGCCCAAGUCCCAUAUUUUCCUAUGGACCCUUCAGAACCGUCAAAUCAUGGGUUCGGGUCCGUUUACCCAAAAUAUUGACCAAAGUCAACUUAAAUUAAAUUUUAAUGGCAAAAUUAACUUUUUUUUAUCAAAUUUCCACAUAAAAGCAUUCCGAGUAUACGCUUGGACUGUGCACGCAAAUCUAGGUUAGGAAAAAGGAGGUUUUAAGGCCUCAGAUCAUAGAAUUUAGCUCUAAAACAAUCGUUCGUCCUCGAACAGACAUAAGAAGGAAGUACCUGAGUCAGAGAAAAAAUGGGGAUAUCGGCUCCCCGUAUCGGACUCGGACUCCCAGGUCGCUGCCUCAAUUGGCUGACCUCUCCACUAAACACGAAUAGAAGGAAAACUCUUCGAUCUCAACUGAGGAACCUGCCAGUCUAGAAUAGCUACCGGCUCCUCCUCCUAGGACAAGUCCUUGUCCAACUGGACAGUGCUGAAAUCUAACACGUGGGAUGGAUCUCCGUGAUACUUCCGAAGCAUGGACACAUGAAAUACUGGAUGCACAGCUGAUAAACUCGGCGGCAACGCAAGUCUGUAAGCCACCUCUCCCACUCGAUCAAGAAUCUCAAACGGACCAAUGAACCUGGGGUAAGCUUGCCCCUAUUCCCAAAUCUCAUCACGCCCGACGCUAGAAGCAACACCCGUUCACCGACCAUGAAUGCCAAAUCACGAACCUUACGGUCGGCAUAACUCCUUUGCCUAGACUGAGCUGUACGAAGCCUAUCUUGAAUAAUCCUGACCUUGUCCAAGGCAUCCUGUACUAGAUCUGUACCCAACAACUGAGCCUCUCCUGGUUUAAACCAUUCAAUCAGCAACCGACACCGCCUACCAUAUAAAGCCUCAUAAGGAGCCAUCUGGAUACUUGACUGGUAGCUGUUGUUGUAGGCAAACUCCGCUAAAGGCAAAAACUUAACCCACGAGCCAACUCAAUGACACAAGCUCGGAGCACAUCCUCCAAAAUCUGAAUAGUGCGCUCAGACUGCCCGUUUGUCUGAGGAUGAAAUGUUGUGCUCAACUCAACCCGUGUGCCCAACUCCCGCUAAACUGCUCUCCAGAAAUGUGAGGUAAACUGCGUACCUCGGUCCGAAAUGAUAGAAACGGGCACAACAUGAAGACGAACAAUCUCCCGGAUAUAUAUCUCAGCUAACCUCUUGGAAGAAUAGAAGACUGCCACAUGAAUGAAAUGUGCUGACUUGGUCAGCCUAUCAACAAUAACCCACACUACAUAGAACUUCCUCUGAGUCCGUAGGAGUCCAACAACGAAGUCCAUAGUGAUAUGCUCCCACUUUCACUCAGGAAUCUCAAUCUUCUAGAACAAACCAUCGGGUCUCUGAUGCUCGUACUUUACCUGCUGACAAUUCAAACACCGAGCCACAUAUGCAUCAAUAUCCUUAUUCAUCCUCUUCCACCAAUAAUGCUGCCACAAAUCCUGAUACAUCUUAGCGGCACCCGGAAGAAUAGAGUACCGGAAACUAUGGGCCUCAUCUAAAAUCAACUCUCGGAGCCCAUCCACAUUAUGCACACAAACUCGACCCUGCAACCUCAAACCCCCAUCAUCUCCUAAUGUAACCUGCUUGGCACCACCGUGUUGCACCAUGUCACUGAGGACAUAUAAAUGAGGAUCAUCAUACUACUGAUCUUGGAUAAGCUCCAAUAAAGAAGAACAAGCGACUGUGCAAGCUAAUACAUGGCUGGGCUCAGAAAUAUCCAACCUCACGAACUGAUUGGCCAAAGCCUAAACAUCCAAAGCAAGCAGUCUCUCACCGACCGGAAUAUAUGCCAGACUACCCAUACUAGCUGACUUCCUACUCAAAGCAUCGGCCACCACAUUAGCCUUUCCCGGAUGGUAUAAGAUGGUGAUAUCAUAGUCUUUCAAUAGCUCCAACCACCUCCUCUGGCUCAAAUUUAACCCCUUCUGUUUGAACAAAUACCAAAGACUGUUGUGAUCCGUGAACACCUCACAUGCCACGACAUACAGAUAAUGCCUCCAAAUCUUCAACGCGUGAACAAUGGCUGCUAACUCCAAAUCAUGAACCAGAUAGUUCUUCUCAUAAAUCUUCAACUGACGCAAAGCAAAAGCAAUGACCUUGCCAUCCUGCAUCAACACCGCACCAAGUCCAAUAUGAGAUGCAUCAUAAUAACCUGUAUAUGGACCUAAACCUAUGGGCAAAACCAAUACUAGCGUCGUAGUCAAAGCUGUCUUGAGCUUCUGAAAGCUCGCCUCACACUCGUCCAACCAUCUGAACUGGGCACCCUUCUGGGUCAACCUGGUCAUCGGGGCUGCAAUAGAUAAAAAUUCCUCCACAAACCGAUGAUAAUAGCUUGCCAAACCCAGGAAACUCCGAAUCUCCGUAGCUGAUGCAGGCCUAGGCCAGUUCUUGACUACCUCUAUCUUCUUCAGAUCUACCUGAAAACCCUCUGCUGAUACCACAUGACCCAAGAAUGCAACUGACCCCAACUAGAACUCACACUUCGAAGACUUAGCAUACAACUGGCUAUCUGUCAAAGUUUGGAGGACCACUCUCAGAUGCUAAUCAUGCUCCUCCCGGCUACGGGAAUAGAUCAAAAUAUCAUCAAUGAAAACUAUCACGAACGAAUCCAAGGAAGCUUUGAACACUCGGUUCAUCAAAUCCAUAAAAGUUGUUGGGGCAUUUGUCAACCCAAAUAACAUCACCAAGAACUCAUAAUGCUCGUACCAAGUGCGGAAAGCUGUCUUAGGGACAUCGGAUGCCCAUUACCUCAACUGAUGGUAGUUAGAUCUCAAGUCAAUCUUUGAAAAUAACUUGGCACCUUGAAGCUGAUCAAACAAAUCAUCAAUUCUCGGCAAUGGAUACUUAUUCUUGAUUGUAACCUUGUUCAACUGCCGGUAAUCUAUACACAUCCUCAUCGAUCUGUCCUUCUUCUUAACAAACAACACUGGCGCACCCCAAGGCGAGACACUAGGUCUAAUGAAGCCUUUAUCAAGCAAGUCUUGCAACUGUUCCUUCAAUUCUUUUAACUCAGGCGGGGCCAUAUGAUACGCGGAAUAGAAAUAGGCUGAGUGCCUGGAGCCAAAUCAAUGCAGAAGUCAAUAUCCCUGUCGGGUGGAAUUUCCGGCAGGUUUGAAGGGAAUACCUCAGGAAACUCACAAACUACAGGGACAUAUCAAUAGAAGGAACCUCAGCACUAGAAUUAUGAACAUAUGCCAAAUAGGCCAAACACCCCUUCUCGACCAUACGUCGAACCUUCAUAUAUGAGGUAAAACUACGGGUAGAAUGACUAAGAGUCCUCUCCACUUUAAAUGAGAUAAACCCGGCAAGGCUAAGGUCACAAUCUUGGCAAGACAGUCCAAGAUAGCGUGGUAAGUUGAUAACCAGUCCAUCCCUAAUAUGACAUCAAAAUCAACCAUGUCCAAAAGUAAUAAGUCUACUCGUGUCUCAAGACCCCCAAUCACAACUAUACAUGAACAACGGACAUGAUCUACCAUAAUAAAAUCACCCACCGAUGUAGACACAUAUACAGGAGCACUCAAGGAAUCACUAGGCAUGACCAGAUACGGUGCAAAAUAAGAUAGCACAUAGGAGUACGUAGAUCCUGGAUCAAAUAGAACUGAAGCAUGUCUACUACAAACCAAAACAGUACAUGUGAUAACUGCAUCGAAAGCCUCAGCCUCAGGCCUAGCUGGAAGAGCAUCACAUCGGGGCUGGGCCCCACCACUCUGAACUACAUCUCUAGGAUGGCCUGCUACUGGAUGGCCUCCACCUCUAGCGCCCUGAGCUCCACCUCUAAUACAUCUACCUCUAUCUCCACCUCUAGCACCUCUAUCUCCACCUCUAGCUGGCUGAGCGGGCGGUGGGACACUCGGUGCCUGAACCAUGGCACGGGAACCUUGGUGCUAAGAACUGCUUGGUGCUCGAGGGAAAAAUCUAGCAAUAUGCCUCGUGUCGCCACAAGUAAAACAAGCCCUCAGUUGCUGGGACUGAUGACCCUGAAAACUCUGAAGUGGAGGUGCACUGAUAGGAGCUGGCGAUGCACUAUAGGACUGAUGAUUAGAAUACUGCAUGUGAAAGCCACGACCACCUGGGGCACCAUGAGAAGCCUGAAGUGCUGACUGAAACGGCCUGGGAGGAUGGCCCCUACCAAAAGAAUCCUUGCCUCCAGAUGAGGCACCACUGAACCUGCCCGAAUGACGAGGCCUCUUGUCAAACCCCUGACUACUCCCCUGUGAUAGAACCAUCUCAACUCUCUUAGCCACAUUGGCCGCCUCCUAAAAAGAAAUCUCACUCCCCGUCUCAUUAGCCAUCUGCAAUCGAAUAGGUUGAAUGAGUCCCUCAAUGAACCUCCACACACACUCUCUCUCUCUCUCAGUGGGAAGUAUAAGAAGAUNNNNNNNNNNNNNNNNNNNNNNNNNNNNNNNNNNNNNNNNNNNNNNNNNNNNNNNNNNNNNNNNNNNNNNNNNNNNNNNNNNNNNNNNNNNNNNNNNNNNNNNNNNNNNNNNNNNNNNNNNNNNNNNNNNNNNNNNNNNNNNNNNNNNNNNNNNNNNNNNNNNNNNNNNNNNNNNNNNNNNNNNNNNNNNNNNNNNNNNNNNNNNNGGAGAUGCUCAAACUGUCCUCCGAUAAUUCUACCCUCCUAAGUGAUAGGAAGAAAUUUUUCUAGAAAUAGCUGAGAAAACUGAUCCCAAGUCAAAGCUGGUGAUCCGACUGGUCUAGCCAAACAAUAAUCUCUCCACCAAGUCUUGGAGGAUCCAGAUAAGCGAAAAGUAGCAAAGUCGACCCCAUUGGUCUCCACUAUCCCCAUAUUCCUGAGACCCUCAUGAAAGCUGUCUAAAUAACCUUGGGGAUCCUCAGAAGAUGCACCACUAUAAUUGGUAGUAAAGAGCUUGGUGAAACCUAUCCAACCUUCACAAAGCCUACAAAAAUGUAGCUGAUCUAUCAUCGGUCUGUGUUGCUGCUCAGCUGAAGAAGCGGAACAUGACCUUACCAUUUGCGAAAGGACAAGAGUAGAGGUUUCAAUUUAGAAUUGAGAGAACAAAAUCGCACAAUAGGGAAGAAUAAGAGUGAAAUUUUUCCUAACUCUGUAGCCUCUGGAGGAUAAAUACAGACGUCUCCGUACCGAUCCCUCAGACUCUACUAAGCUUGUACGUGAAUUGUGAGACUUAAGUAACCUAGAGCUCUGAUACCAACUUGUCAUGACCAGGAUUUCCCAUCCUCGGGAGUCGUGAUGGUACCUACUAGUGAAAGCUAGGCAAGCCAAAUUAUUCUAAUUGCUUAACCUUUUUGAGUUUUAAUCCCUUAACAGUGGUGAACAAACAUCAUAUAAACGGCGGAAAUAAUAAUAUCAAUAACGAAGCAAAAGACUGAAAUCUGAUAAUUUAACUUAAUACAAACUGCGGAAAUCUGAAUACAACUCUACCUAGAAUUUGGUGUCACAAUUUCACAGACUGUCUAAGAUUAAUACAAAUAAAGUCUGAAUAAAAAUACACGAAUUUAUCUCUGAAUAAGUAAAAAUAGAAAAGAAAUUAUAGAAGGAGACGCUAAGGCUCGCGGACGCCUGCAGGACUACCUCGAGUUGCCUAUUGGACUGAAGGCAACAACCUCACUGCAGUCUAAACGCUCUGGUACCUGUAUCUGCAUAUAGUGCAGAGUGUAGUAUCAACACAACCAACCCCAUGUGUUGGUAAGUGCCUAGUCUAGCCUCAGCGAAGUAGUGACGAGGCUAGGACCAGACUACCAAAUAAACUUGUGCAGUUAAAUCAUAUACAAUAGAAAAUAAAGGCAAAUAUUCACAAUAAAGAUGGGAGGGGGAAAACAUGUUGCGGGAUACAGAUAACAAUAGAAUACCAAAGAGGAAUGUAAAAACCAAAAUCAAUUACUAACAAGGAUAGGAAANNNNNNNNNNNNNNNNNNNNNNNNNNNNNNNNNNNNNNNNNNNNNNNNNNNNNNNNNNNNNNNNNNNNNNNNNNNNNNNNNNNNNNNNNNNNNNNNNNNNNNNNNNNNNNNNNNNNNNNNNNNNNNNNNNNNNNNNNNNNNNNNNNNNNNNNNNNNNNNNNNNNNNNNNNNNNNNNNNNNNNNNNNNNNNNNNNNNNAGGAUAAGGAAAACAAACACAGAAUUCACUUUCAUUUCAUAUCUUGUUGCAGGCGUGCAACUCGAUCCCAUCUCAUAUAUCUCGUUGCAGGUGUGCAAUCCGAUCCUAUUUCAUACAUCUCGAUAUAGGCAUACAACCCUAUCCCAUUUCAUAUAUUUCAUUGCAUGUGUGCAACCCAAUCACAUUUCAUAUAUCUCGCUGCGGGCGUGCAACCCGAUCCCAUUUCAUAUAUCUCGUUGCAGGCGUGCAACCCGCUCCCAUUUCAUAUAUCUCGUUGCAGGCGUGCAACCUGCUCCCAUUUCAUAUAUCUUAUUACAGGCGUGCAACUCGCUCCCAUUUUAUAUAUCUCGUUGGAGGCGUGCAACCCGCUCCCUUUUCCUAUAUCUUGUUGCAGGCGUGCAACCCGCUUCUAUUUCUUAUAUCUUGUUGCAGGCGUGCUACCCACUCCCAUUUUAUAUAUCUCAUUUUAGACGUGCAACCCGCUCCCAUUUUAAUUCAACAUCAGUCAUAAAAGAAUCUCGGCAAGAGAGACAAUAUCAUAAAUAAUAGCAUCCCGGCAAGGGAGACAAUAUCAUAUCAAUAACAUCCCGGCAAGGGAGACAAUGUCAGAAACAAUAAAAUCCCGGCAAGGGAACCAACAAUGAUAACCAUCAUAUUAGGCAUGAAUAAAUCACAACGGAGUCACAACAAUUACAAUUCUAGACUCAUGGGCAUGCUUGAUACCGACGUAUAGAUACUCAUCACCAUGCCUAUACGCCGUACUCCAAAAUUAACAUAUAGCAAAUAAGACACAGCUCUUAAUCCCUCAAGUUAAGGUUAGACCAAACACUUACCUUAAACUUCCACGGCCAACUCAAGCCUCAAACACCGCUUUUCCUUUAGAAUUCGCCUCCAAAUUACUUGUAUCUAGACCAAAUUAAUUUAACAACAUCAAUAAAUGCUAAAGAAUUCAUACCCAAUGCUUAAUUAUAGGUUUUCUAUUAUUUUUCCCAAAAAGUCAAAAAUCGGCCCCGGGCCUGCUUGGUCGAAACUCGAGGUUCGGACCAAAAUCUGAUCACCCAUUCACCCAUGAGCCCAGAUAUGCAAUUAGUUUCGAAAUCCGGCCCCAAAACGAGGUCUAAAUUCCAGUUAAUCAAAAAUCCCUAACUUUACCCAAAUUUCUAAUUUCUACCAUAAAAACCCUAGAUUUUUGUAUGAAAAUUGAUGAAAUGCAAUGGGAAAUAGAAAGAAAAAAGGUUUAGAAUCGCCUCAAUGCUCUAUAGUUUACCAAUGCUUUGGGGAAGAACUUAUUCUUUGAAAAUCGCCUCAAUGCUCUAUAGUUUUGAAAAUAUGACUUUAUGGGCUCAAUCCCGAUUUUGCUACUAUUUUUAAUUCAUUGGACAGGCCUUCUUCCCAUUCGCGAAGGGCCUGUCGCGUUUGCGAAGGGUCAGGCCCAAUUGCCUUUGCAUUCGCGUUUAGUGGUUUGCGUUCGCGGAGCUUUAGCUCCUCAAGCCAUCGCGUUCGAGAGCCAGUGGCCACGUUCACGCAGAACAAAAUCCCUUUCCCCCUGUCCCGGCCAAAAGGCCUUCGCGUUCACGAUAGCAGGUCCGUGUUUGCGAAGGGUAGCACCCCCAAGGAUUCGCAUUCGCAUCUUGUUUCUCGCGUUCGCAUAGAAGGAAUUGUCCUUCAGCCUGACUUACCCUUUGCGUUCGCGAGUGUCUUUCCACGAACGCGAAGAACAACACUCCAGAAUACCAGAAGCUAAAAACCUGCAACUUUUCUAAGUGUAAAAACCUUCUGAAACCUACACGAAACUCAGCCGAGCCCUCGGGGCUCAAUACCAAACAUGUAUGCUAACUCAAAAAUAUCAUAUGGACUUACUCGUGCGAUCAAAUCGCCAAAUUAACAGCUUUAACAAGGAAUUUAGCAUCAAAAUCAAAGGAAAAUCUCAAGAACACUUAAGUUUCAAGUUUCACAACCGAGGGUCCGAUUCACGUCAUUUCAAGUCCGUUUCUUAACAAAUUUUACAUGCUCAACUUAAAUCAUAUAUAAGACUUGUACCGAGCUUCGGAACCAAAAUACGGGCAAGAUGCCAUCAAAUUUAAUUACAUUCAAAUUUCCAAAAACUAUAAAAAAUUUAAUUAAACAAUUUUCUUCAAAAAUUCAUUUCAUAGGCUUGGGAACUCGAAAUUCAAUUCCGGGCAUACGCCCAAGUCCCAUAUUUUCCUACGGACCCUUCGGGACCAUCAAAUCACGGGUCCGGAUCCGUUUACCCAAAAUAUUGACCCAAGUCAACUUAAAUUAAAUUUUAAAGGCCAAAUUAACAUUUUCAUCAAAUUUCCACAAAAAAGCAUUCCGGAUAUAUGCUCGGACUGUGCACGCAAAUCGAGGUAAGAAAAAGGAGGUUUUAAGGCCUUGGAUCACAGAAAUUUGUUCUAAAAUAAGUGAUGACCCUUUUGGGUCAUCACAUCUUCACAUGUUUAUUGACGUGGGUGUCUUGUCAUAGCCUCGUCACAACCUCGUCGGGGUUAGGCUCGACACUUAUGGAGUACAUUGGGUCGGUUGUACUUAUACUAUAACUCUGCACUUCUUGUGCAGAUUUUAGUAUCGAUCCCAGUUGUUCAUGAGGCGUAGCAUCUCGGAUUUGCUUAUCGGAGACUCGAGGUAGAUCUGUUGGCGUCCGCAGACCAUGAAGUCCCCUUCCAUUUCCC